GAGCCCACUCUUUGGUCCAGACUGUUGUCCCAUCGGUGGCGUGGGCCUCUCAGAUGGCUGAAGAUGUGCUUUCUGAGGGAUUCUCCACUUGCUGGUUCGUUCCUGGGAAAGGAGAAAGGAAGGACUGUGUUCAUACCUGUCUGCCCUCCACCGCUGUCUUACCUUCAGGAGGAACUCUCCCUCUCCUGCAAGACCGCUCCCGUUCAGUGAACUGAUACUCAUCUGUGAUUCAGACUCGCUCCCUGCUGACUUGUAGAAUCAACUUUUCAAAAGUGCAAACUGUGGUCUCUGAAUAGACUGAACAGAAGCGAUCAGCACAGCCACCACGACUCGCAUUGACUGAAUAAUUUCUCUGUUGUGGAGACAGAUGAUCUGGGGAUUUUGUGUCUGUACCUACAACAACACCAAGCUGCGUCCUCGACUCCAGCUCACCUGAACUGUAGCCACGCCCACCUCUCCAAGCAGCUUCUGUCCAGCACAUCACAACAUUGGAGGACGUGUCACACAUGAAUAUGUCUUUCCUUUACAAACUCGAAGGCCAGCAUUUAGACCGGAGGGGGUCCAGGUACACCGACAUUGUGUCCUGUGAAAGGAGAAUAAAACCCGAGGUCUCCACAAAGAGUUGUAUGAAUUUCAGCUUCAGAGUUCGUGAUGGCCUCCUCUCACCUCUUCACAUGGAGUCAGAAAAACACAACUUUCUACGAGGCUGCAGAGAGGCAGCGGUGUCAGAGUCACUGUAGUCCGUGUGCUGCACAGUUUGAUCUGUAGCACUAAAAUUAUUGCCUAAAAAAACUUCCCCAAAUCAUCCCGAAUUUGAUGGAAGACAUAUGCUCUAAUAAAAACAUCAACUUAUCAUAUAUAAUUAACAAAAUAUUUAUAAA